AUGUUUGCUCCUUGCACUCACCAUCUAUAUGGUUGUUGUGUCAGGUGGGAGCAUGGAGUGUACAGCCUUGCUUGUUUGUGCUAUGGCCCGAUAAGCUGGCCGUGGGUAUCAGACCCCCUGGGAGUGGAUGCAGGACACUGGAUUCGUCGUCAGAUGAAGCACAUUUCAUCAACUCCCUUCCGUGACGCCUCGAACGAAUUAGAAGAAGUACAACUGCCUGAAGAAAUACAGGAGUACAUUAACACCAAAUAUCCUUCAGUGCACAACAUUCAGGAGAAGAAAAUGCUCGAACAUUGCAGUCAGAAGUUUUGGCAAACAAUUCUAAAAAAACUCCAUACCAACUGUGAAAACUUACAUCGAGGAUGUCCACAGCUCAGACUACACCAACAGUGCCUCCAGUGA
rnacentral:rRNA from 1 species